CUGGUUAGGGAUGGUUGGGUGUGGGUCCCUUUCACUGCACCUGGGCCAGCUCUGUUCUGGAGCUAUCGACUCCACGCACCUCUUUGGAGAGGCAGGCACGGAAAGCCCUCCAUCACACAGGGCUAUCACCUCUGCUUUUUCGUCUCUCAUUUUUUACUCUUCUUUGAAGAGAGUUGGUUGGAGUCGGGGCAUGGAGAGAUUCUUCUAAAGAGCCGUCCUUUUUCUACUACUUUUUUUUUUAAUAGUCUAGACACAGAUUUGGGGUCCCAUUCCAUCUCCUAUUUCUGCCGAGCCUGGCUGUAUCUGAAUGUCUUAGUAUAGAGGUGUACGUCAGCCGGGGAAAGUAUCAGAGCAGGGAGGACAGCAGGAUAGGAGGAGCUGUGUGUGGUACAGUGGUGGCCCUAAAAACUGGAUCCCCAGCUCCUGGACUUAGCAUGGAGACUCCUGGGCAUCCAGGAGUCAGAAACUUCCCCUACCUCCAGAUCUCCCUGCCCUCAGCCCCUUUGCUUCUCCCAUCCACAAAAGCAGAACAAGCCUAGCACAGGGCUGGUCCUAGCACCUCAGUGACCUUGGCUGCUCCCCACUUCACCUUGGCUUCCUCCAGGACAGCGACUCCAUCCACAGGGACCUUAGGCUGAGCAUUGUGACUCCCCAGUGCCAUGGUGCUUGGAACUUGCUGAGAAUCAGAGGCACUUCUGGUUUUGGAUGGUGAGGGCUGAAUUCUGGUUCUUGCUUGCACAAGAGGUGUGUAUGUGGGGUGAAUGCUCUGGUGGAUUUCUGGAGGCCCCAUUGCACAUACAGAGACAUAGGGCAGAGGCAGGUUCAGGGGCCUCCAUCACGAAAUAGCCCCUCCCCCCAAAAAAACUAUCCGUAGGAGUUCCCAGAAUGGCUCCCACACCUUAGAUCUCACAACCACUGGCAAUAAACCACUGGUGGUUGCCAGUGAUAUUCCACCACUUAAGGUCAGGGCAAAAGCCAUCUGAACUAAUCCCUCAGCAGUCCCAAGGGGGAUACUACCACGACUCUGUUCUUUUCAGAUGAGGGUGAGAGAGUGAGAGACACCUGCCUGAAGUGAUGUGGGGUGCCUACUCCAAAGAGAUCGUGUCCACACCACCUACCCCUUUAGGUCACAUGGGAAGGCCCAGCUGCCUUUCCUGCUCACCUGAUGGGACACACACACACACUCACGAGAGAGAGAGAGAGAGAGAGAGAGAGAGAGAGAGAGAGAGAGAGAUUGUAGAGGUCCAAGUCUCCCAUUUGCAGGUCUCAGGGUAAGUCUCUGACUUCCCUGGCUGUCAUUCCACUGGGUUUUGGUUUUUUUUGUUUUGUUUUGUUUUGUUUUUUAAACUCAGAAGCGGAGUGUGUGUGUGUGUGUGUGUGUGUGUGUGUGUGUGUGUGUUAUGUGCGGGGGUGCAGUUUAUGGAAGGAAAAGAGUUCUCCCUUCGCAGCUCUUGGGCAGAGGAAAACUUGCUCGGUGUUAGAAAGUAGUGGUCACAGGCAUCCAGGAACCCCGGCUGGGCUAGCAGAGACGCUCGGGGUCUCACUCAUUCAUUCUCUACUCAGCACGAACCACCAUGUUGUUCAGAGCACCAGAGCCAAACCCUCCCCAGCCAUGAAAGAACAGGUAAAGGCAUGAAACCCAGGGACCGCUCCAGGGAGCCCCCCCAACCUCGGGACCCCAGAUCCUUCUGCUGACACCUUUUCCCAUUUGAUGAAGAGGCCUUUGCAGAGACCUCUUGUUGGAGAACCAAUGCUAGGAAGGAAGGUCAGCGAUGGAAGCUAGAGCCAGUGGAGUCAAGCACCCAACUCAAAGGCCUUGGAGCCAGAGCAAGGUAGCUGGGACCUGCCUGGAGCCUUCUCCCAAAGGGCUGUGGAUGGAUCCUUUCACAGGCCCAGGAGAACCAUUGCACGCUGCUGAGAGUCCGGGAAGCAGUGGCCUGCCACCCCGCCCCCAACCCCAGCAGGCUCAACACCGGGCACCCCUCACCUUCAUAAACAAACACUCAGGGACACAGCCUACCCGCACAAACCUACAAUAAACACAACCACUAGCAGCCGCAGACACUCCCGCCCAGGUCUGCAGGAAUAAGGAAGGGACUUCCAAUCCUGCCUCUGAGGCCACCAGGUUUGGUCCCUGCCCCUCUUCGGGCCUCAAUUUCUUCACCUGUAAGAUGGCGGAGGUGCAGAGGGCUGGGAAGGGUGCUGAUCUUCAGCGACUGUUUCUACCUCUCUCCUGGAAAGCCGGUCUCCCAGGUACCGGAACCCGCCCCUCCUACAGGUCUAGUCACUGGCCUUCCUAGGGCCAAGAUGAGCCUGGUCUCAGAGUGCCAGGCGGCACAUAGUAGGAGCACUGGGCGAGGGGUGCACAGAUGCCCGCAGGUGCUCAGAGUGGGGGUGGGGGUCUAGGCCGGCCCGGACCGCCAAGAGUGACUAACACCCGCGAGGUGCACUGCGCUCCGUUCGGUCACACUGCCCCUCCACCCCCAAUCCGGGGAGGCCGAGACAGAUUCCGUCUAAAGGAGAUCGCGGCUCAACAGGUAAGGACUCGGCUGGGUUCAGGAAUGUGGAAAUACGACUCGGAGCAGCUACGGCGGCGAGCAGCGAGCGCGGCCCGCCUGGAGCCCGCCCGGCCGGCCGCGCCAGGGGGAGCUCCGCGAGAGGGGGCCGGGCGCAGGGCUCCGGGCGGGCGGGGGCGCGGGCCCCGGACGGAGCCCGAGGCUGCCGCGCCAGCCACACAGCCCAUCCUGAGCCAGCCGGACGAGUUGUCAAGAAACUCUGAACCUACCACAUGAUGACAACUUCUCUCCACAACCCCUUCAAUCCUGGAGCUUUACUUCGACUGGGGCAUCCGUGGAUGAGCAGGCGCCAUGGAGACACUGUGUGGCGGCUUCCAAGGAACAAAGGCCCCUUCCAGCUCAUCCCUGGAGAACAUUUCUAAUCCCCUACUGGGCUCCUGUGGUCUUUGGCAACUUGACAGAAGCUGGAGUCAUCUGGGAAGAGAGAACCUCAAUUGAGAAAAUGCCUCCAUCACUCCAGACUGUGGUUCCUCUUGUCUCCUGCCUCAGAGCGGAUAGUCCCGGCUCCUGUGUGUGGUGUAGGAACUUUUCCGCCCUGUCAGCCACCCGGCAGUCAUAGCUUCGUCUGGUUCAGGUAAACUGUACACCAUUCCCCAAGCUCGCCCAUCUCUGGAUCUCUCAACGUUCUCUCGGUCUCCGAUGUUCUUCACUGCGAGAAAGUCCCAGCCCACUACAGAGGGGUUUAAACAGUGAGCAUGCAGUUUGCUUUCUCAUAAGAGAAAUUCAGUUAUAGAUUAAACACCAGAGCUGGUAUCAAGGCCAAACAUAUCACCAAGGACUCGACUGCCAUCCUGAACAUGAAGCUAAUCACUUCAGAGUGAUGAAAAUGGACACAGGAGAGUUCCGCCAUCACAUUCUGACUUGCAUGAUGCUGGAUGAAUGGCCAAAGAAGGAGUAAGGUUGAUUGUCAAUCUCAUUGGAUAUGGGAUUAACUAAGAGACAUUGCCACAGGGUAAAUCUGGAAGGUUAUGUCCAGGGGGCAUUACCUGAAGGGAGAAGACCCUCCCCAAAAGUGGGCAACACCUUUACCAGUGUCCCAGAUAUAAAGAGACUUGAGAAAAAAGCAGUGCUACCUGCCCACCUCUGGUUCCUGCAGGCGAGGGCAUCUACUUUGCUGCUGCCGCUGCCGCUGCCACUGCCACUGCUGCCACCAUUGUCUGCUAUCAUUAGAACCCAACUUCUUUGGCCUUCCAAUGUGAACUGAAGACCAGCAGCUCUUCCGAAAGUUCUCAACCCUUGUGGAUGUGGGGCUGCAGCUCAUGGCCCAAUGCUAACGCUUUUCUGCUUCUGGGAUUCUGAUGACUCUCAGGUAUGUUUUUUGCCUCUCAGGUCAAGGACAGCUUUCUCAGCCUGUCCACCCUAGCUGCUGGGUGAAGGAAGUUCAUUUCAGAGCCAGAGCCUGUCACUGUCCCUGGAAGGUAAAUUGACCAUUUUGCAGAUUUUUCAGGUAGAUCUAAAAGUUGUAGAUGGGCUGGCGAGCUGGCUCAGUGGGUAAAGGCGCUUGUAGCACAAGCCUGACAACCUGAGUUCAAUCCCCAGAACCCACAUAAAAGUGGACGGAAGAAACCAACUCCACAACUUAUCCUAUGACUUUAACAUGCAAGCCACCACACACACACACACACACACACACACACACACACACGUGUGCACACGCACAUGACAAAAUAAUAAUAAAUUUUUAAAUGUAAAUAAAACAAUAGGUUCCGUUUUGUUCUCUUGAUAGGAAAUCUCAUUCAGUCCAGGCCAAUGGACUUGAACCUUUCUGAAAAAGAUUUAUUUAUUUUAUGUAUAUGAUUAUACUGUUGUUGUGUCCAGACACACCAGAAGAGGGCAUCAGAUCUCAUUACAGAUGGUUGUGAGCCACCAUGCGGUUGCUGGGAAUUCCAGGACCUCUGGAAGAGCAGUAGGUACUCUUAACCACUGAGCUAUCUCUCCAGCCCUGACCUUGAACUUUUGAUCCUCUUGCCUCUGCCUUGGGUGCCACUGCACGAUUUGUGCUGUACUGGGGAUUGAACUCAGAACAUUGUGUGUGUUAGGAAGCAUGGUGCCAAUUGAGACACAUUCCCACACUUGAAAAGUCAGGUGUCCUUAUUCAUCUUGGACACCAAGGGCCACAGCAUCAGGCUGACCAACCAGAGGUAACACUUGAGCCUGGGACCCUACAUCCUCGCACCAUGGCAACCACACAGGACUCAUAAACCACAGACCCUUGUCUUAAAGCAGUGACUUUCAACCUUCUGAAUGCCACAGCCCUUUAAUACAGUUCUUCAGGCUGUGGUGACCCCAACCAUAAAGUUAUUUUUGUUGCUACUUUAGAAAUAUAAUUUGGGACCGGAGAGAUGUCUCAGUGGUUAAGAGCACUGACUGUUCUUCCAGAGGUCCUGGGUUCAAUUCCCAGCAACCACAUGGUGGCUCACAACCAUCUGUAAUGGGAUCUGAUGCCCUCUUCUGGUGUGUCUGAAGAUAGCUACAGUGUACCCACAUUCAUAAAUAAAUAAAAUCUUUUUUUAAAAAAAGAAAAAAGAAAUAUAAUUUGGCUACUGUUAAGAAUCAUAAUGUAAACAUCUGAUAUGCAGGACCCCUGUGAAAGGCUCUUUGGACCCCCUCCCCAAGGGGUUGGGACCCACAGGUUGAUAAUCACUGUCUUAAAGAGUUGGGGGACCAGGAUUCACCGUGAUUCUAUAGUCACUGAGAAGGGAGUUGAACCCCAAUGCGCUCAGACCAUGGCUGAGGGGUUGUCUCUCCUGGCUAUGCUGGUUGCCCUACCUGCUCCUCUCCCACUGUGCACACAGGAAGUGGACCCUUAGCUUUGCGCUCCUCAGCCUCUGCAGAGGGCCCCUCCUUUCUCCCUGAGGAGGCUCCCAGGCUGUUAGGAGUAGCACACAGCUGUCAGGAUAGAGUCCAUGUUAUACUGGUCUGGGAAGAGCCUUCUUGCUCAGCACACUCCAAACGAUGGUUUACACCAGGAGCUAGAUUUGAACCCAGUACAUACCCUGUGGGCAAACCACUCUUCUCUACAGCAUCUCAUUCCUGGGGGCACAGAAGUCCAUGCUGCUGUGAGGCUAAGUGCAGAAACAGAGGCUCCUGGGUCCAGAGGGCAGAAGGUAAUCUCAAGAACAGGACCGCAGAUGGGGAUGCAGCUACUAGUCCUGACUGAGCCUGUUUCCCUCUCUGUGCUUGGUGCCUUCCCUUGCCAUUCUCAGGUGCAGAAAGCCCUCAGUAGGGCCUGGCAUCUAGGGAGCAUUCUUCUCCAGCACAGACAUCAUCCCCUCGAGUGACAAGUUCGGUGGCUGUGGGGACACUUCCAAGUUUAUCAAGAUGGAAACUGUUCUGUGAUCCGACCUGAGAGGGGGCUGGGUCCUCUUCAGAGGUUUGGCAGUACUGAGUGGGUUUGCAGACCUCAUUGCCUUCCUCCAGGGCCAAGGGGUCCCUACAGAGCUCUGGGUGGAUGUGCAGAGGGAGCGGAGGUGAAGUGUGGUCUCUGAGAAAGCGAAUCUACAGUGCAUGCCAGCCUUGGCCCUCAGACCAGGGGAAACUGCAAUCCCAGCUCCUCUGUUCAACUGCGUUCCACUCUGACUGAAGCCGUCUCUUCAUGCAGGGUACCCUGGUCGUCCUCACCAGAUAGGCAGUUAGACACACAAGGGCCCCUUGUGAACUGGUCAUUGUCGCUCAUUGGUAGAGCACUUACCUAUCCUGCACGAGGCUCUCAGUUCAAGUCCCACGACUGCCACACGUGCGCACACAAGAAAAGAGAAGUGUGGCAUCUAAGAGCUUAGAGGGCACCUAAGUGGCACUUAGUGGACUCUGAGUUAGUCAAGUAAAUCUUGACUCCUGCAAGUGUGGGCAGCUGGUGUUGCUGCUUGGCCAUUGAGUUAUGAACGCAAAUAUGAAGGCAUCAGUGGCUGUGAUGUCUGUGUGUCUGUGGUAUGUGUGUGAUACAUGUGUGUAUAUGGUAUGUAUGUGUCUGUGGUAUGUGUGUGAUACAUGUGUUCUGUGUGUAUAUGGUAUGUGUGUAAUAUGGUGUGUGUGUGUGUGUGUCUGUGGUGUCUGUGUUUUUGUGGUGUUUGUGUGUAUCUGUGUGCCCUGUGUGUAUAUGGUAUAUGUGUGAUGUGUGUGAUGCAGUGUGUGUGGUAUGUGUGUGUUUGGUGUGUGUGUUUGUGUGGUAUGAUUGCUGUGUGUGUGACUGUUUGAUGUGUGUAGUGUGUGUGUGAUUGUGUGAUGUGUGGGUGUGGGUGUCUGCGUAUGGUGUGGUAUGGGUGGUGUGUUUGUGUGUGUGCAUGGUAUAUACGAUGUGAUGUGUGUGGUGUGUGUGUUUGGUAUGAGUGUGAUUGCUGGUGUGUGUGUGUCUGUGUGUGUGUGUCUGUGUGUGGUAUGGAGUGUGUGGUAUGUGUGUGUGGUGUGCCACAUGGUAUUUGUGUGUGUGCGCGCACGUGUGUGUGUGUAUGGUGUGUGUAUGGUGUGCUCUGUGUAUGAUUAUUGGUGAGUGUGUGUGUGUGAUUGUGAGAUGUGUGUAUGGUAUGGUGUAUGAUGUUUGUGUGUGUGGUGUGUGUGUAUGUGUUGUAGUGUGGUAUAUGUGGUAUAUGUGGUAUGUGGUGUAUGUGUGUGUGUGAUUGUGAGAUGUGUGUAUGGUAUGGUGUAUGAUGUUUGUGUAUGUGGUGUGUGUGUAUGUGUUGUAGUGUGGUGUAUGUGGUAUAUGUGGUGUGUGGUGUAUGUGUGCGUGUGUGUGUGUGUGAUAUGUGUGUGUGUGAUAUGUGUGGUGUGUGUUUGGUAUAUAUGGUGUGGUGGGAGUGUGGUAUAGUGUGUGUGUAGUGUAUGUGGUGUGUAUGUAUGUAUGUAUGAUAUAUGAUAUGUGGUGUGUGUGUGUGUGUGAUAUGUGUGGUGUGUGUCACCUACACAUAUAUCUGUGUACAAUGCACUGGUAGUGCCCAUGAAGGGCAGAAGAGGACAUUGAUCUCUAGGGAUUGGAGUUACAGACAAUUGUGAGGAGCCAUAUGUUAGUUGGGAAUUGAACCCAUGUCCUUUAGAAGAGCAGCAGUGUUCUUAGCUACAAAACGAUCUCUGCAGCCCAUGAAGUGAUAAAUCUAUUGACUAGAUUUGUCUGACAGAAGCAGUUAUCUUUAGGGCCUUCCUGAUGGAAGAACCAGGAGGGAUGGGGCAGACUCCCUGAAGCCCACACUGCCCACGGUGCCCCAGGCUCCUGGAGGAGGCUAGGGAAGGGGCUCUCAGAGGUGCUACUCUCCUCUUCAGGGAAGAGCAUAUACAAGCUCCCUGCUUUUCAACAGAGUUCUUACUCAUGUGGGCCAGGGGAUUGGUCCCCAGCCAGUAAGGGCCCAUGAGGAGGGAGGGGAAGACUGAGUUUGUCCUAUGUGAUAAGCUGGCUGUGGCCAGAGAAUCAGAAGCCAUUGCUCUUUGGAGAUGCCAUGGAAACAGACAAGAGCUGGGCACUGUGAGCCCAAGGAGAUGCACAUGCUAAGGACAUCCCCUGUGCUGAUCUCCAGAGAGUGAGCCAGACAGGCCAAAUGAGAGAAGUCUUUCUGCGAGGGAUAAAGGUGAGCGUGGCCCAUACAGAGGACACACGUAGUGAGAAUUUGGGCUUCUUAAAAUUCCAGUUGUGUGAUGCGACUGUGUUUUUGUUUUAAUCCCAGGUAUGGGAUAUGGGGCUGCUUCAGAUUGUCCAAGUGAGGCCACAGGUGUGCAUUGUGAUAAGGCCAGGCCUCGUGAAACUCUUGCUGUGAACUUAUAAUGAGCUUACAGAAUGAAACACUACAUUGAACUUACUAUUGACAUCCUUCUGUGACUCCCCUUUGUGUAACGUUUUAUCUGUGAGGUAAUUUCAUAAGAACUUUUGUCUAAGAAAGUAUAAAAAGGCUGAGAGAAAAAAUAAAGAAUGGCUGUUGGGGCUCUGCUCCAUCCACCAAA